rnacentral:rRNA from 1 species
UACAGAGGUCUCAAGCGUUGUUCGGAUUCAUUGGGCGUAAAGGGUGCGUAGGCGGCGCGGUAAGUCGGGUGUGAAAUCUCGGAGCUUAACUCCGAAACUGCAUUCGAUACUGCCGUGACUUGAGGACUGGAGAGGAGACGUGGAAUUUACGGUGUAGCGGUGAAAUGCGUAGAUAUCGUAAGGAAGACCAGUGGCGAAGGCGGGUCUCUGGACAGUUCCUGA